CAGGAGCACAGCAGGAGCACAAACCUCACAUUUUUUUGCUGAUGUGGAGUUAUUCAGUUGCACUUCCUGGUCCCAUGGUACCUCAUGGCCAAAGCCACAAGGAAACCCCAGACUAACCUGAUGAACUUUUCCAAAUACUCGUCUAUGUUUGCAUUUCCCCUUCCUGAGAACAGUGAUAUAAAAAUCAUACGAAGCCCUCUAACCUCAAGAGAGCAAAGCCCCAAACAGCAAGUAACUCAUGUGGCUUCUAAUGUAAUGAAGACGUCUGAAUCCUUUGGGGAAGAAUUUCAACAGCUUAGCUCUUACAGCAGUGCAGAUUACUAGGGUGAAAGAUACUGUACAAAACCACAGAAGAUCUGGUUUCCAAUCCCACAGCACCCUGGCUUCUCCUCUGUGAUUUCACACAGUGGGCAACAGUUGAUACCUGAAGAACAAACUCAAGCAUGAGCAAUUUUGGAGCAACAUCUCCUGGCUAGAAAGGACUCUGAGGAAUUUGAAACAACACAUCCUCUUAGCAGCAGUCACUAUCCAAGGGUGAACUACUAGGUCUGCAAAAAGGCCACAUCAAACCUACCCAACUAACCAAGGCUGCGAGCAGUACCUGGGCGUCUGCAAUUCCUCAGGUUCUCUCUUCUGCCCUCCACCACCCAUUGUUCAGGCUGCAGUCUUUUGGUGCCUCCUUAUCACUUGUGGCCAUCAAGGAGGCAAACGCUCCUUGGCGUUUGCCAGCAACUUCAGACCCUUGCCCCAAAGACUUCCGCAACACAAGUAACAGUGAUCAGAUUAAAGCAGAAAGGAAGGAGAUCACAUGAAAAGAAAACAAGGUCAGAAAGCAAAUUUGGAGGACCAAAUCUUCCAGCAUAGCCCCCUUGAAAUCAGGAAUGCUGACAGAAGCUCAGCCCUUCGGCUUUUCAGUCCACAGAAGGCCUGUGUCUGCCCAAGGAACCAAACUACUGUCUUCUGAGUCCCAAAUACACAUCCCAGCAGCUAUGCCCUACCCCGACCUGGAAGGCUGCAUCUCAAGCCCCGGCAGGAACCACAGAGGCAGCAUCUUCUGGCACCUUGCAGCACAAGCUGCAGCACCUUCUUGUACCUAAAGAAAAUAAAAUGCAGGUCUAAUAACCAACCUAUGACUUAUUAGCAGCAGAGCGCUUGAACAGAAAUGCUUGGUUUGUGUAACAGUAUUUUAUAUUCUAUUCUCUUCUGUACUCCUCUUGUGACAGCCUUAUCAGUGAGCAGGUUUCCAGUGGGCCACUGCAUGCUGUAGACAGCCAGUACAGUAGAAACUAUCUAUCACUACAGGACACUCCAUUAUAAUUAAAAAUUAAUGGCCAAUGAACUUUCUCCUUUUCUCCAUCCUGAAAAAUGUGAAUCACCCUGGGAUAAAAGGCUUCUGGGAUACUGAGCCUUUUUCAUUACAGGCUCAGUACAGUACUCUAAAGAUGCUCCUCUGUGGCAACACACACAUCAGUUCCACUGUGCCCUCAUGCUCACAAUCUGCCCUUAAAGCAGAUCUUCUCUCCCACUUCUUGCAGCACCAUUGUUUUCAGCAGCUCAGCUGACUUCACGAUCACCAAAGGCAGUCUCUAAUUUUUCUGACUGCGUGCCAGGUUGCCACUGGUGCUCAAGAAAUGACUCCUGUGCCUUUCAGUCUCUUCGAUAGCCAAGAGGGUGCCUCCUUUCCCUUGGCUUCCUCACCCAAGAUCUAUCUGCUGCUAGAUUAGCUGCCUGGGUACUGGAGACACUGGCUGUGCCUGACAAGCAAUCUCUGAAGGUUUCCGGGGCACUAUUACAUGCUGUCAACAUUGUGAGGGCUGAAUAGCUCAGAGGCUGGUCAGGGCUGCGCAGGACAUCAUUGCUGGAGAGGCUUCCUGAAGGGGCUUCUUUACUGGAAGCAGAGGGUGACUCAUUGCUGCUCAGCUGCUCUUGUUCAGAGAGAUUAAGUUUCUGCUGCAACAGGGUAGUAAUGAUGUUCAUGAAAAUCACUCUGCAGGAAUAAACUGUUACCGGAAUAAAAAGAAGAGAAACUGUAUGUUUGGGAAGAGAAGCGAUUGCUAUCGGUAGCUUCUUGUUGCUGAGCAAUUUCCAAGCGCAUGGAGAGCUCUGUGCUGCUUUGCAUCAGGCACAGCAUGAAGCAUCCACGGCAGCUUCCAAAGCACAGCUGUGCUCAGCCAAGCUGCAAAAUGCAAAAAGCACUCACAGAAGCGCAUGUAUUUCUGCACAUGUGUACUGGGGAUCCAGCAAGCAUUAAUGGCAUGCCCAUACACGCACAUUGGAGGUAAUGUCCAUAAAAUGCAGGCUUGCAGGCAAUGAGAACUCCUCCACGCAGCCCAGUUCACACUGUAUCUGAAUUUAAAG
rnacentral:lncRNA from 1 species